UGGGGAAUAUUGGACAAUGGGCGAAAGCCUGAUCCAGCCAUGCCGCGUGUGUGAAGAAGGCCUUUUGGUUGUAAAGCACUUUAAGUGGGGAGGAAAAGCUUAUGGUUAAUACCCAUAAGCCCUGACGUUACCCACAGAAUAAGCACCGGCUAACUCUGUGCCAGCAGCCGCGGUAAUACAGAGGGUGCAAGCGUUAAUCGGAAUUACUGGGCGUAAAGCGCGCGUAGGUGGUUAUUUAAGUCAGAUGUGAAAGCCCCGGGCUUAACCUGGGAACUGCAUCUGAUACUGGAUAACUAGAGUAGGUGAGAGGGGAGUAGAAUUCCAGGUGUAGCGGUGAAAUGUGUAGAGAUCUGGAGGAAUACCGAUGGCGAAGGCAGCUCCCUGGCAUCAUACUGACACUGAGGUGCGAAAGCGUGGGUAGCAAACAGGAUUAGAUACCCUGGUAGUCCACGCCGUAAACGAUGUCUACCAGUCGUUGGGUCUUUUAAAGACUUAGUGACGCAGUUAACGCAAUAAGUAGACCGCCUGGGGAGUACGGCCGCAAGGUUA
rnacentral:rRNA from 1 species